rnacentral:lncRNA from 1 species
UAAGGAAAUUCUAAGGCUUUGAAAAAUUAUGGGAAUGGUUUGAAAAUUUAAAUAAUCAUAUAGUACCAAUAAACAUAAUAUUUAUUAGGGACUAAAGUAAACAUAUAAACAAGUUUAUCAAAUCAUCAACUUUUAUAUAGAGCGGAACAACAAAAAAAGAAUAAUAUUUUCCACAGUUUUCUAUACUAAUCUAAUAAAAAUUAAGAGAUGUCAAUGUUAAAUGUGCGUGAUGAUGUAUAAAGGAUUAUAUAGGUAACUUUUUGAGUGGGACAUUAAUCUUGUGCGUUUGUAAAUUUGAAUAGAAAAUAUAAGUGUAUGUCAUAAACUUAUAAUAGUAUGUUAGGUAAGGUGUCUAUGGGAUAUUUGCAUCUAAUCAUAUUAGUUGAUGUUAAUUUAUUAUUUACGUCA